AUGGAUUCAUUUCAUAACCCUAUUUUAUCACAACAAUCAAGGCUGAAAUUAGAGGAUGCUUCAGUUGACAAUUCUGUUUUUUCAAGUCAGAUCUUUAUGGAUAACAAUAAUGGGUCAUACACUAUCCAUUAUCUGGCUUCGGUUAACACUAACGAAGUGGAGGGUUUGUCUUUGAUGGAAAGGUCUAAGAUAGAGGAGUUAGAUGAACAAUGGAAGAAGCAGGGGACAGAAUAUAAUUGGUAUCGCUUGAAGUGAAUUGCUUUGUAGAGGGAAUAGAAAACGCUAAUCCUGGAUCUUAUUAAUGUGGCUGAUCAGCACAAGAAUAACAAAGAACAAGAGCUAUAUUUGGCUUCUUAAGUAUUUCUACUUGGCACAAUCCUUCCAGUUGGGAUGCUAUUAUUCUUGGAUAUUUCAAGAACAGCUUUGCAUACUCAUAGAAGGUAUUAGAAUUUAUUAAUGAGUUAUAGCUCAAUAUUAGUGAUAGGUAGAUACACUCAUAAAAUUGUUCUGUUCUUUCCCACCAUUUCUUCACUAAUAUCUUAUACAUAAGAAAAUUAAAAUAAGAUUCUUAGAACUAUGGGAGAAUGGUUAGGUCAAGGUGGAAUUAAAUCUGGAUGCAAGUUGUUGUAGGCUAUGGUAUCAUAGAAUAUAGCACUAAUCAAAUGUAUUAUAAGGCUAGUUUGCUUUUAAAUUGUAGAUGGUUUGAAACUAAAAAAGAAUGUACUGUAGGUUGUGGUGUCUUAGACUUUAGUAGCAGUCAUAUUAUUCACUCAUAUUCUUACACCAAAGGCAUUGAAGUACAGAGAAAAAGAAAUUUCUUGUUAUUGCCUUAUGAUGGUAUGCUUUUAGUUCCACAACUGGCUUAAUAGAUUCAAGCAAGGAACCUAUCCAUUCUUAGAAAAAAGCUCAUUUUAAUGAGGAUAAGCAUUAGAAAGUUAUGGUCUAUUACUCUAUGUCAUUGUAAUAAGUAGUUAAUCCAUUAUUUUAAUACAAUGUUGGUAACUGUUAGUGACAUCUAGAGUUAAUGGGCAAGCCUGUCAUCUAUGUGAUAAGGUUGCUCCAUUAAAUCAAGCGAAGCAGCUAAUCUAGGUAACCUCAAGAUAUCAUUAGUAUUACCCUCCACCCCUCCCCAGAUGUGGAUGUAGUAUAUGGAAAAGAAUUAGGAUAAAAUGAGAUAGAUUUCUACAGCACAUUAAUUUUGAUGUUGGCUAUGAUAGUUGGAUACAGUUUUGACAUGACUAUUGGUGUGGCGAUCAGCCUUUGAGGGUGGCUCUGUCUUGUAAGUUAGUUCCAUUGAUCGAGAAUCUUUAGCGGAAUCUUUGCUGGUGAGAUAGGGCAAGGGGGGAUGAAGAAGUUGGGAUGUAAGGUCCUUCGGGACUUUAAUGAUUGGGACUUAAACCUUCUUAUGGUUGGUUUAAGGAUUAAAAUCAAUUCUGAGUAAUGGAAUAUGUUAAUUGCUUCUAUGUUGGAGUAGUGUCAUAUUCCAAAUCUUAAAGCCUUGAAAGAGGAUUUAAAGAAGUGGAAUGAAGAGGAGUUUGAUGUGGCUAAUUUGGAGAGAAUGAAAUACCCGCACUUUUGAGGAUGUUGAGAGAUCUAUUGAUCUUUUGAAAUCUUUGCUAGUUGGGACUUUGUUCUCGUAUUUGGGGUUUUACGCAAUGUAUUUCCAUUUUUGAUUUCCUUCAAUCUGCUUCUGUGUCUCUUUGAUUUGUUUGUAAUUAUUUCAAGUACAUUUUGUUCAUCGUUAUGAACAAGAUGUACUUUUUUUUAAUGAAACUAUCUAUUACCUAUCAAAAAAAGAAAAAAGAAAAAAAAAAGCAGAUUGUAAAGAAGAAUCAAUUGGUUUUUGAAUUCAAUGAAUUGGAUUCUUAUAAAUGGAUGUCUCACUUCUGAUCAAGAUGCUAUUAGGGAGCAUAUUGCUGGGUUUUAUGAAAAUUAUUUAAACAGGAUGCUUUAUGUUUAUAGACGUUCACUUCUAGAUGGGUUGCAUUUCUUAUCUAUCAAUGAAGCCCUGGGACCAGAUGGUGAUAAUGAAACAUGAUAUUCUGGCUGUUUUUUGGGAGUUUCAUGGGUAUGGGCAAUUUAUAAAAAGAGUCUAAAUGCAAUAUUCAUAGUUCUUAUCCCCCAAAACUCUGAAGCUAUGGAGGUGAAGGAUUUUAGGCUCAUUAGUUUAAUGGAUGGAGUGUACAAGCAUGUUGCUAAAGUUCUGGCCAAUAGAAUGCAAAUGGUGUUGAGAAAAAAUUAUUUCAGGAUCGCAAAAUGCCCUUGUGAAGGAAAGCAAAUUUUAGAUGCUGUGUUAAACUAAUGAACACUUAGAUAGCAGACUGAAGGCAGGGAUACUGGGUGUGCAGUGUAAAUUGGAUCAUGUAAAUUGGGGAUUUCUAAUCUAUCUUUUGCAAAGAUGCGGCUUUUCUAGAAAGUGGAGGAAUUGGAUUUAUUUCUGCAUUUCAACAGUGCACUUUUCUGUAUUGGUAAAUGGAAGUCCACAUGGUCUUUUUGGAAGCUCUAGAGGGAUUCAUCAACGUGAUCUGUUAUCCGUGCUGCUCUUUGUAAUUGUAAUGGAAGCUAUGAGCAAAAUGAUGGAGAAAGCAUUGGGUGAAGGUCUUCUUGUGGGUUUCUCAGUGGGCAGGACGGGAAGGAAUAAUCUUUUGAUUUUUCAUUUACUGUUUGCAGACAACACUGUGAUAUUUUGUGAAGAUGAUCCUAGAUGAAUUUGGCAUUUGUGAUUUCUUUUUACCUGGUUUGGAGUUAUAUCUGGGCUGAAAGUUAAGCUGCGAAUAUAUAUAUAUAUAUAUAUAUAUUUUGAUAAAUAACGAAAUUUCAUAAAUCAGUUAAGUUGAGAAAAUAUUAGUUGGUCCUAGUUGGGGCUGUAUGGAAUUUGGAGGCUCUAUCUAAUAUCUUGGGGUGUAAAACAGCAAGUUUUCCAAUGAAAUACUUGGGAUUAACAAUGGGUGCUAAAUUUAAAUAGAAGUCCAUUUGGAAUGAUGUUUUGGAAAAGAUGGAGAGACAAUUGGCAGGGUGGAAACACACGUAUUUAUCUAAGGGAGGUAGAGUAACCCUUCUUAAAAGUACACUCUAAUUUACCAACUUAUUUCCUAUUCCUGCAGAUGCCUUGUGGAUCGAGAGAUUAUAGCGUGAUUUUCUUUGGAUGGGAUUAGGGGAGGAAUCCAAAUUCCAUUUGGUGAAUUGGGAUAAACUGUAUUUGUCAUAUCAUAAUGGUGGGUUGGCUAUUAGGAAGAUCAGCUUAUUCAAUGAAGCCCUAUAUGGGACAUGGUUAUGGAAGUUUGGCAUAGAAAGAGAGGCUUUAUGGUGGAGAAUGGGAUAUGUGUGAUAGAUUUGGCAUAUGUCUCCAUGGGGGGUGGUGGUUGCAUGAAGGUUGCUCAAGGGGCUUAUGGGGUGAGUCUUAUGGGGAUGGGACAAAUUUUCUUAGUGUAUCAAAUACAAGGUGGGAGACGGUACUAGUAUAAAAUUUUGGUUGGAUAUUUGGUGUGGUGAAACUACCCACAAAGAGUCUUUUCCUGACCUGUAUCAUCUUGCUUGAAACAGUGAAGCUACUGUAUCAGAACAUUUGUAGUUUAGAGAUGGUUCAGUUCAUUGGGGGCUAAAUUUUUCUCAAGCUAUUCAGGAUUGGAAAUUGGAAUCCCUCUCUAUUUUCUUGGAUCUUUUGUAUUCAUCUAAAGUGGAUGGAGUGGGAGUGGAUAAAUUAUGUUGGAGGCCAUCUACUCACAAUAAGUUUGAAGUUAGAUUAUAUUAUAGAGUUUUAGCCCCCUCUGAAGCAAAUUAACAUCCAGUGCUUCCCACCUCUCUCUUUCAAGACACCCUCCUCUCUAUGCAUACAUUUAUAAGGAAUGUUGAUGAUUUACUUGUUAUAUUUACGUACAAAUGAUAUUUUUAUGGCAACAACUCCCACUUAUUCUUUGCAGGGUUGUCUGGAAAAAAUUUGUAAGUGAUCUUAUCAUAAGAGUUGGAGAUUCAAGCUUUUAUUUGCACAAGGUGCACUCAAUUACUCUAUUCUCAAUAAAAGAUGAAUCAAUCUUUCUUUGUGUGACAAAUGUAAAGCUAACAUCAAAACCUUAGAACCUCCAUUAAAAUAUUGACUCAUACAAAUAAUUUGCUUCCAUAUGGUGUCCUAUAUUCAAUCCAAAGAAUAAAAACAUAGCAAUCAAAUGAAUUCAUUCUCCCUUCUUGUUGGAUUUGAAACCAUGCCAUAUUGUUGUAUCCAAAAAUCCUUGAAAAUUUUCAACUAGUCGAAAAAAUUAAAUUUUUUAAAACCAAAAUUGUUAAAUCUUAAUUACCAUUGCUUACUAUUUUAACUCAACUCAACUCAACUAAGCCUUAAUCCCAAUUAAAAUGGAGUCAGUUAUGAGUUCCUAUCAAUUAAUCAUUCAAGAUAUUCAAUAUUCUUAAUAUUUUACUAAUAUACUGAAAAUAAUAAACAUUAAAGAUAACAUGUUCAAAUUCAUUAAACUUGAACUAAAUAUAUAUUUUUUUGUUAAUGUCAGCACCAUUUGAUUACAAGAAGUGUGCAUUUGAAUAGACUCGUGUUCCAAAGUAUUGGCCAAAGAGACACUAGCCCCAUUAUCACACUAAACAAUCUUCCAGGUGGAACAAAUCUUUUGAAUUAGUAGUUAAAUUUUGUUAUGGAUAAAUGGUUAACAGCAGCCAAUGUUGCUCCAUUAUAUUUUCUGCUCAUUCUUUAGAAAAGGAGUGACAAUCUUGAACAAGGAAAUCUAAUAUUCAGAACAGAUGCUUUUAUAAGCUUCUUAAUACUUACAUUUUGGAAGGAAACUUUUUAUAUUUUUAGAAGCAGUGAACCCGUUUCUGCAUGCGCCAAAAAGUUACAACUUGUGAAAUGAUGAUGUACAGUGCUUGUAUGUUCUAGCAAACCUUGUUGAGAACUCAAUACUAAAACAAAAACAGGCAAUAAUUGGUGGUUUGAAGAUUUUUUAUUCUUUCUAGUAGAUCCUUUUUUCAAAGAGAUUCAAACUAUCAAAAGUAAAAGGGAUGAGAUCAGAGCUUGUAGGAUCAUGCGUAGUCCAUUGGCUCCCAAACAUCUAAACCAUCACUUACAAAGAGAUACAGCUGAAUGCUCGAUAAAUGUGCUCCCUAUAGAGAAAAUUUUAAUUUCUUGCAGUUCUCUGCUUCACCUUCUCAAGGUUGGUUUAAUGAUAAAAAUAAAUUCUGAAUUAUUGAAAUGUUAGAAGAAUUGCUUCUAUGUUGGAGAUCUUUUGGUAAAGAAUUAUGGAGACAAUGAUAAUGGUUAUGAUGUGGGCGUUGUUAUUGAGGUGGUAGAAUCUUACGUUACUUUUGUUUCAAGCAAACCUGUACCAAAAUAUUUUCCUUUGGAAGAUUGAUAUAUGGUUAUCUUACCCUGGUUGCUAGAGAUGAGAACCUUAGUGCAACAAGCAUUCAGUCACUUGCAGAAAAAUUGCCAAAAGAUUCUCAGUAUUGUGAUGACAACCUCCAUAGAACCAUUGACAUGUAUCCCAAGGUACAGAGCUUUUUUCAUUCUUAGUGAUGAUUACAUUAUUUUAAAAUUGAGUUUCUAUGACCUGAAAUCAUAAAAUAGAGAUUUACUUAUUGAAAAGAAGAAGUAUCAUUUUUUUUUUUUUUUGGUGUCUUUUAUUGGAUAUUGCAAACCUCAAUGGCUGUAAAAUCUCUAUAGACAAAUUUCAAGUCUUAAACCUGGGCAAACAGUGUUUUUGAAUUAUAUAGUGUUUUAUUGAUAGACUUAAAAAACUUGUAAGCUCACAUCUUAACUAGUUAUAGAAGAACUUAAAUAUAAGAUCCAAUUGACCAUUUUUAUGAGACCAUUUAUGCAGGUACACCCUUGCUUGCUAAAAAAAAAAGAAAAAAGAAAGAGUAAGUGGAUGUAA
rnacentral:sRNA from 1 species